UACGGGGGGUGCGAGCGUUGUCCGGAUUUACUGGGCGUAAAGGGCGUGCAGGCGGUCUGUUAAGUCUAGGGUGAAAGCUCCCGGCUCAACUGGGAGAGGUCCUUGGAUACUGGCGGACUUGAGGGAGGUAGAGGAAAGUGGAAUUCCCGGUGUAGUGGUGAUAUGCGUAGAUAUCGGGAGGAACACCAGUGGCGAAGGCGGCUUUCUGGGCCUUACCUGACGCUGAGACGCGAAAGCGUGGGGAGCGAACCGG
rnacentral:rRNA from 1 species